CUUCCAGACUCCUACGGGAGGCAGCAGUGGGGGAUAUUGCACAAUGGGGGAAACCCUGAUGCAGCGACGCCGCGUGAAGGAAGAAGUAUCUCGGUAUGUAAACUUCUAUCAGCAGGGAAGAAAAUGACGGUACCUGACCAAGAAGCCCCGGCUAACUACGUGCCAGCAGCCGCGGUAAUACGUAGGGGGCAAGCGUUAUCCGGAUUUACUGGGUGUAAAGGGAGCGUAGGCGGCGACGCAAGUCAGAAGUGAAAGCCCGGGGCUCAACUCCGGGACUGCUUUUGGAACUACAUGGCUUGAUUGCAGGAGAGGCAAGUGGAAUUCCUAGUGUAGCGGUGAAAUGCGUAGAUAUUAGGAGGAACACCAGUGGCGGAGGCGGCUUGCUGGACUGCGACUGACGUUGAGGCCCGAAAGCGUGGGGAGCAAACAGGAUUAGAUACCCGAGUA
rnacentral:rRNA from 1 species